rnacentral:misc_RNA from 1 species
GAUGAAGGAACGCAGCGAAAUGCGAUAAGUAGUGUGAAUUGCAGAAUUCAGUGAAUCAUCGAAUCUUUGAACGCACAUUGCGCCCGCCAGUAUUCUGGCGGGCAUGCCUGUUCGAGCGUCAUUUCAACCCUCAGGCCCCCAGUGCCUGGUGUUGGGGAUCGGCAGCAGGGCGUCAAGCCCGCCGGCCCCGAAAUCUAGUGGCGGUCUCGCUGUAGUCCUCCUCUGCGUAGUAGCACAACCUCGCAGUUGGAACGCGGCGGUGGCCAUGCCGUUAAACACCCCACUUCUGAAAGUUGACCUCGGAUCAGGUAGGAAUACCCGCUGAACUUAAGCAUAUCAAUAAGCGGAGGA